rnacentral:lncRNA from 1 species
GCAACCAGAGUGUCUAACUUUUCCUAAUGUUUGUGUGUAUGUCUAUGUAUAUGUGUAUGUCUAUGUAUGUGUGUAUGUAUAUGUAUGUGGGAGUCUUCAUACAUGCGUGCACCACAGUAUGCUUGUGGAAGUCAGGGCAACUUGGGAUCUAGGCCUUAUACUCCACUGUUUGAAAUUGGCCCAUGAGCCACAAGCUUCUAUGGGCUCCUGUUUGUGCCUCUCAUCUUGCUGUAAGGGCACAAGGAUUUCAGACAUGUGCUGCCAUGCCUGUCUUCCCUGUGGCUUCUGGGAAUUAGUCAGGUCUUCAUACUUACACAUAGUGCUCAGCCAGCUCGUCUGACUUUAGAGCUGUCACAUAUGUAUGCUGGUUUUGUUAGGGUAGUUGGGAUGAAAAUGGUGUGAGGUUGUCAGGUUUGGUCUCAAUACCUCACAGAUCUAAAUGUUGACAGCAUGUUGUGAACUGAGGUAACCAAAUCCCACGACUGGGGGUUCAGUUUAAGCACUUCAUUUGAGGUGGUGACGAUGCAGAUGUGUGCAGCAUGUACUUUGUAGUAAAGUGUAUGGUUACAAGGACAACUGAGCCAGGCUUGGUGACUCAUGAUGAUAACCCCAGCACUCAGGAGGCAAAAGCAUGGUCUGUGAAGCAAGUUCCACCAAGGUUGCAUAGUGUGACUUUCAAGAAACAAGGCAAAAGGGCAGCAAAGAAAAGUCCCAAGUGGCACACAAUGGCACAGGCUUGCCUGUGUAGUCUCAGAUCUCCGGUUCAAGGCUAGUCUGGCCCAUAUAAUAGUCUCUUAAAAGUUUCAGUAACUUGGGUAAAUCUAAAAAUGAUUUUCACAAUUGAGUACUAAGACAUGCAUUUAGAAGUUUUUUCCUAGUCACCUGAUUAGGUGAUUGACAUUUGCUGUACAGAGUAAGGUGUCAUGGCAGCAUCC